ACGGUGCUUGGAUAUAACAGAAGGAAGUGGCGCAGUCACUCAGCGAGGUCACUUCCUGCCCAGCAGGCUUCUACGUCGGUGGAGUGGCAAGGUGAUGGGGUGCUACCAUGCUGGCUUCAAAUUCCCAUGAGGACUUUAUUUAAAAUCGGCUCUAACUGGGAAAGUAAUGCGAAUUUUUACUCGAGACACUAACCUCACACCCUCUUUUACUGGAAGUCAUCCUUUUUGUUUUCUACAGCUGGUACGAUAAAGAGGUUGCAAACAAGGCACGUUUUAGUUGGACUAAAAAACGCCCCGCAAGAUUCCAAUACAGAGUUAAAGCUCUGCAGAGGGAGACGGAAAGAGGAGGGAACAGAAGCCUCUGCUUAGGAAGAAAGAGACAGCUUCGCAAAGGUGUGCUUGCCAGGCAGAUUAAGAGCAAACCGCUCAGCAUCUGCGGUGACUUUGGGCUAAGGUGGAAGGAAGCAGCGGCUGAAAGAGAGCUACAGAUGACUAUUGGUUGUGUCAAGCUGACAACAAGAAUUGCCAUCACAAACAUUGUCAUUUCACUUUCCCAACAAAGGCACAGGAUGCCUGUGUGACCACAGGAUUGGAACUGUCCACUGGAGUCUGGUGGAUUCACCACUGGGAACAAAACUGAAGAUGAUGGCUCUUCUUCUAGAGGGUGUCACUAAUGAAUAAUUCAGCAGGAUCCAAGAGCCCCUCAUUCACCUGCUACUCACUGUUGAGAGGGCCUGCCUUGUGCAAGCCUAGGACAAGUAAUUGCCUAAGGAAGAACUGCAUUGUCCAGUACUGAAACCUCGGUCUCCUGGUUCGAAGGUGGCCAUGCUCACCACUGUGCAUUCAACACACAGAUACUGACUCUUUACCAGAGGAGGAUAGAUUAUGAAGGCUUCCGUGUGUCUCAUCAGUGCUGCUACUUUCAAUCCACUGCCCACAGCUCUGGGGGCUGAUGGUUUGGAACUGAACAACCAGUUGGAGUGCUCUUCCCUGGGAAGGACCACCUCUCCCAGCCUUCAUCAGUUGCCUGUGGUUCUUUAUGUAGGGCUGAGGCCUCCUGGGCCUUUCUCUUUCCUGUUUGGCGUAUUGCCUGGUAUCAUCAUUGUUCAGCUUAUAUAUGAAUUGUCAUGGGUGAUCUAUCUUUGUAUCUAUGUAUCUAUGUAUGUAUGUAUGUAUGUAUGUAUGUAUGUAUGUAUGUAUCUAUCUAUCUAUCUAUCUAUCUAUCUAUCUAUCUAUCUAUCUAUCUAUCUAUCUAUAGAUAUAUAUCAUACAUCGACCAGUAAAGUAUGUAUGUGUAUGUAUACACACACACAUUAUGGGUAUAGCUUCUGAUAUUACUAGGAAACACAAUCUCACAGCAAAGUUUCCGAUCUUCAACCUCUUACAGUCUUCCUGUUCCCUCUUCCACAAUGUUUCCUGAGCCUUAUCUGUGGAAGUAUCUUAUAGAUGUAUCCAUUGGGACAGGGCUCCACAACUCUGCAUUUUGAUUAUUUGUGGAUUCCUGAAAUGGUUUGUUGCAAAGAGAACUUUCCUCGAUGAACGAAUGAACGAACGAACGCUACACUUCAUUUGUGAAUGUAAGGACAAAUGUGUAUAGAUUAUUGUUAGGUAUUAUGUUAGUUUAGUAAAUGAGUGAUUGUAGAUUCUCCUCCUUUUUGAAAUAUAAGAAUUUUAGGGCCUGGAGUGAUGGCUUGGCAGUUGAGAGCAUUUGAUGCUCUUACCGAGGACUUAGCACCCACAAGGCAGCUCAAAGUCACCUGUAACUUCAGUUCAAGGAGAUUUGACAUCCCAUUCUGGCCUCCGUAGGUUCCAGGCAUUUGUGUGGUACACAGAUAUACAGGCAGGCAAACAGUCAUACAUGUAAAAUAAAAUAAAAAAUUGGAAAGUAGGCAUUUUCUCAUGUCUGAAGCAAUAUUUUCAAAUACAAAUUUUGAAGGUUUAGUACACAGCUUAUAUUUCAACAUAAUAUUUUUUCUUUCUUUUUUUUUUCCAUUUUUUAUUAGGUAUUUAGCUCAUUUACAUUUCCAAUGCUAUACCAAAAGUCCCCCAUACCCACCCACCCCCACUCCCCUACCCACCCACUCCCCCUUUUUGGCCCUGGCUUUCCCCUGUACUGGGGCAUAUAAAGUUUGCAAGUCCAAUGGGCCUCUCUUUCCAGUGAUGGCCGACUAGGCCAUCUUUUGAUACAUAUGCAGCUAGAGUCAAGAGCUCCGGGGUACUGGUUAGUUCAUAAUGUUGUUCCACCUAUAGGGUUGCAGAUCCCUUUAGCGCCAAAGAUAUUCCUACUGGACAAUUUGGAAAAUAAGGAUAGAUGUUAAGAAUAAAACUCACACAAGAGUCCAUCAUGUGACAAGCUAUUUGUAUUUCUAUACGUAUAUGGAAUGCAUGUAUGAAAGUAUAGAUAUAUUAAUAAAUAUUCUAGAAAUAUAUGUGUUGAUUAUAUAUGUAGAUAUGUUAAAUUUUGAAAAACAUUAGAUUUAAUUUAAUUGAUAUUUUUUAAAUUAUAGUUUUUCU